CUACGGGAGGCAGCAGUGGGGAAUAUUGCGCAAUGGAGGAAACUCUGACGCAGCAACGCCGCGUGAGUGAUGAAGGUCUUCGGAUUGUAAAGCUCUGUCUUUAGGGACGAUAAUGACGGUACCUAAGGAGGAAGCCACGGCUAACUACGUGCCAGCAGCCGCGGUAAUACGUAGGUGGCAAGCGUUGUCCGGAUUUACUGGGCGUAAAGCAUGCGUAGGCGGAUACUUAAGUGGGAUGUGAAAUCCCGGGGCUUAACCCCGGUGCUGCAUUCCAAACUGGGUAUCUAGAGUGCAGGAGAGGAAAGCGGAAUUCCUAGUGUAGCGGUGAAAUGCGUAGAGAUUAGGAAGAACACCAGUGGCGAAGGCGGCUUUCUGGACUGUAACUGACGCUGAGGCAUGAAAGCGUGGGUAGCAAACAGGAUUAGAAACCCUAGUAGUCC
rnacentral:rRNA from 1 species